CGCGUAGGCGGUUUAUUAAGUUGAAUGUGAAAUCCCAGGGCUCAACCCUGGACCGGCAUUUCAAAACUGGUAGACUUGAGUAUGGCAGAGGUAAGUGGAAUUCCUAGUGUAGCGGUGGAAUGCGUAGAUAUUAGGAGGAACACCAGUGGCGAAGGCGACUUACUGGGCCAAAACUGACGCUGAGGCGCGAAAGCGUGGGGAGCAAACAGGAUUAGAUACCCUGGUAGUCC
rnacentral:rRNA from 1 species